UACGGAGGGGACUAGCGUUGUUCGGAAUUACUGGGCGUAAAGCGCACGUAGGCGGAUUUGUAAGUCAGGGGUGAAAUCCCGGGGCUCAACCCCGGAACUGCCUUUGAUACUGCGAAUCUCGAGUCCGGAAGAGGUGAGUGGAAUUCCUAGUGUAGAGGUGAAAUUCGUAGAUAUUAGGAAGAACACCAGUGGCGAAGGCGGCUCACUGGUCCGGUACUGACGCUGAGACGCGAAAGCGUGGGGAGCAAACAGG
rnacentral:rRNA from 1 species